UACGAAGGGGGCUAGCGUUGUUCGGAAUUACUGGGCGUAAAGCGCUCGUAGGCGGAUCUUUAAGUCAGGGGUGAAAUCCCGAGGCUCAACCUCGGAACUGCCUUUGAUACUGGGGAUCUCGAGUCCGGGAGAGGUGAGUGGAACUGCGAGUGUAGAGGUGAAAUUCGUAGAUAUUCGCAAGAACACCAGUGGCGAAGGCGGCUCACUGGCCCGGUACUGACGCUGAGGAGCGAAAGCGUGGGGAGCAAACAGG
rnacentral:rRNA from 1 species